rnacentral:rRNA from 1 species
UACGUAGGGUGCGAGCGUUAAUCGGAAUUACUGGGCGUAAAGCGUGCGCAGGCGGUUCGUUGUGUCGGUGGUGAAAUCCCCGGGCUUAACCUGGGAAUGGCCAUGGAAACUGGCGAACUGGAGUGCGGCAGAGGGGGGUGGAAUUCCGUGUGUAGCAGUGAAAUGCGUAGAGAUGCGGAGGAACACCGAUGGCGAAGGCAGCCCCCUGGGCUAGCACUGACGCUCAGGCACGAAAGCGUGGGGAGCGAACAGG